UACGUAGGGCGCAAGCGUUAUCCGGAAUUAUUGGGCGUAAAGAGCUCGUAGGCGGUUUGUCGCGUCUGCCGUGAAAGUCCGGGGCUCAACUCCGGAUCUGCGGUGGGUACGGGCAGACUAGAGUGAUGUAGGGGAGACUGGAAUUCCUGGUGUAGCGGUGAAAUGCACAGAUAUCAGGAGGAACACCGAUGGCGAAGGCAGGUCUCUGGGCAUUAACUGACGCUGAGGAGCGAAAGCAUGGGGAGCGAACAGG
rnacentral:rRNA from 1 species